AACUUUUUAAUAGGAAGUGUUUGUCUCUUUGUUUCAGCUUUUCUAAACUUCUAUUAUUCGAAUGAUAGUGUGAAGCAACAAGUGUAUCUCAAGCGGCCAAGUAAAAAAAGGUAAAAUGUACAUUUUUGUAAAAAGUAAAAUAAAAUAAAUACUGAACUAACUGGGCAUUGCACAAGUUCGUGUUGUUCUCUGACUGUUUAUGACGUCUUUACACUAAAUCAUUGGAUGUUGGAUGUGUACGGAUUGAUUGUUUAGUUUUAGAUGCAUGCUUUUUUUAUUAGCUGUUAGUGGCUUUGAACUAGGUGUCAGAUAACUGCGAGUACUCUCAGGUCUGUUCCUAGUGUCUUUUUGUUGUCGGGAUGUACAAGUACCCGGCCACGUCCACUUGUAUGUUUUGUCCAUCUGAUGUGUUAAGCUUUCAACUGAUUUUUAUAGUUCGUUCUUAUGCUGUACUGUUAUACCACUGUCCCAGGUUAAGGGGAGGCUAACAUGUUUAACCCCGCCACAUUAUUUAUGUAUGUGCCUGUCCCAAGUCAGGAGCCUGUAAUUCAGUGGUUGUCGUUUGUUUAUGUGUUACAUGUUUGUUUUUCGUUCAUUUUUUUAUAUAAAUGAGGCUGUUUGUUUUAUCGUUUGAAUUGUUUUACAUUGUCAUAUCGGGCCUUUUAUAGCUGAUUAUGCGGUAUGGGCUUUGCUCAUUGUUGAAGCCACAUACGGUGACCUUAGUUGUUAAUGUCUGUGUUAUUUUGGUCCUCUGGUGGACAGUUGUCUCAUUGGCAAUCAUACCACAUCUUCUUUUUUUUUUUUAUAUCAGAGGCAAAUCUAAGCGAAAAGUCCCUUCGAAAAUGGCAAAAUUUGAAGCUCAAGCCCACCAAACGAAGGGAUAACAUAAUGUCAUAUUUCUUUCUUUGUACAGGCAUUUUUUAUGUAAAAAGUGAUGAAUUAAACCUGGUUUAUAGCUAGCUAAACCUCUCCCUUAUAUGACUGCAUUAAGCUUACAUGCUCAUUGUAUCGUCGCUCCAAGCCUUUUGGCGCUGAAGGUAUUACCCAUGAGAUGCAAAAGAAAGUCAACCAAAAGCAAACAAACUAUGGAGGUAAUGUUGCUUCAGAGAAAAGACUUAAGUUGUUAAAUAUCUUGUAAGAUUUUAGGAAUAUAUAAACACAUAACAAUAAAAAUCAGAAGAUUACAACAAAUAAAUAAAUAAACAAUUCGAAAUAAGAUAACGUCUUAACUGAUAAUAAAUGUUAAAACGUGUAGCAGUCCUUAAGUUUCAGGAAAAAGAUAGAAUGUUGUUUCAAUCAGAAACACUCUACUUAGUAGUGGAUCUAGAAAUGGUCAUAAGGGACCCACUGACUGCCAUAAAAGGGGACCGUCUCAAGUCAUGCUUCUUUGGUCCCUUGAUAAUAAACAAAAUUUGUCUAACAAAUGGGGAGGGUUGGUCACCCGUCCUUCCUCUUAAUCCACCUUUUAAGAUAUAUUUUGUUUAAAUAUGUCUAAUCAUCUACAAUUUUAAUCAAGAAAUACUUUAUAUUACAUAUACGAAUGCAGCAAUUUAUUUAAAACUCUAAACGAUAUGACUUUGUUUGAACUGAUUUAACUUUACCGUUAUUGGUUUUGAUAUAACUUGAUAGUGUUGCCUUGAUUUAAACACAUUAUGAAGUCCCUGUUCUUAGUUUGUCACUUUUCAAUAAUGCAGGUAUGUAUUCUAUGCUUUUUUAAACAUUAACAUAAACUUUUAAUUCAUUGCAUAUACAUUUUUAAUCCAUUAGUGAAUCUAUGUUAUCGUUUCUUUUCUAUAGGCAUCAGCAACCCAGACAGUUAUUUCGAUGAAAUCUAUUUUGCAUAAAGAAAACAACGUACUGAUGUAGAACGUUUUCCGUACCAUGGAAGUCGUAAUAAGUAUAUAUAACCGGAAG
rnacentral:lncRNA from 1 species